AGACCAGCCGUGGCAGGUGGUCAGAACCUCGGCAAACUUCGUCUUUUCGUGUAUCGUGUUUGAGUCUACCGACUGGAUUUGAAGGGAUAAGUGAGCAGCCCACGGAAGGGAAAAAUUGCAACCCUAGCUCUUCAGGCUCCUCCACAACGAGCCGCCUGUGCGCCUCACCUGGGACCAGGCCGCCGCCACCACCCACUGACCCGCCAUUGCCGGCGGUGGUGGCCAGGAGCAUUCUGCUCCUCUUCCUCUGCUGGAUCCGCCCCUCUGCUGCUGUGUUCCUCCUGGAUCCGUCAGUGAUGGCAAGCAAGCACUCCUCUCAUGUUGUAGCAAGUGUGAACAAUGAAGAACAAAUAUGAUGAUUUGAAACGUUUGUGGGGGAGAGCUUCAAAGGCGCUGAACAUAAGUUUGACAUCAACACUGACAUCGGUAUCUAUCGACGUUGAAACCCAAGUUCAGGAUCAAAAUAAGAGCAUCCACCUUCCAACGAGCUACAGUUGGCACUUGUAUAGCCAGGGCGUAUAUUUGAUGAGGACCAUACAGAAGCAUCCUUUUUGUCUAGUAUCACGGAAGAUGGUGGCAUACUUGACACUGAACAUCUUUCGUUCACACCAGAAUUUGGCUCCAAUGGAACUCCAGCAGGCUCUUCAAGCUCUAGGACAGGGUCUAUCUUACCUGCCAUCAAAUUUGAAAAUACUGGAUAUGAGGGAUUAAUAACAGGGAGCAGUAGUGAAGAGUGAUCUUCAGAGAUAUUGAGCACAUUCUGUUGAUAGCCAGUUAACUAACAUAACUUGCGGACAAAAAGGGUGUUCUGUUAAGGAUAGACUGCACUCACCAUUUUCAUGCAAAGAUAGUUCUCUGUGACUAUUUGAAGGGCACUCACUCCAUUUUGGAGUCAUCUGUUAACCAAAAAAUACAACCAUAUGCAGCAUAAAUUUGGAUGUCAAAUAUAUCUACACCGGAAUUAAGAAGAAAAUUCAUACUCAAGUAGCCAUAUAUAAGAAGUCAUGAGAUUAUACCGGUCUACUGCAGGUUUAUGUAGUUCAAGAUCAAAGGCAAGAAUCAGCCAAAUAUGAUGAUGAGAACAAGGCUAAUGAUGGAGAACUUUCAUCUAUCGAAGCUGAGCAGUCUAUUGGGAUACUAAGUUUCAAUGCGCAUCCUAAGUUUCAGUUACCUGAAAUCAAGGCCAGUUUCAGUCGAUGCCGAAGUAAACUACCACAUGUAAGUUUAGGGACACACAUUAGUUUCCUGCUAGGGAUUUAAUGGUUGCCGAACUUUAUGCACAUAUGGCGUAGUAGAGAUGCAUGCUUCGUUAUCCUGCAGUUAUCUGAAUUUUUUCUGACCUGCACUCUUCUUGCCUUUAGUUCUGUUCUUAACAGAAUUAUUACUUACUGACAGACGAAUACUUGUUUUCCUUCAUCAUCUGCAUUUCAAAUGACUCAUUAUGCAUCAGGCUAGCUAGGCAAUAUGAAAUUUUACUUCUUGGCUAUAGUCACCGAGCACUGCAAUUUGAAAUUACAGCCACGAAUUUUGGAUUAGUCGAAAGGGCAUUCUUAAUCUGAUACAGUCAAACGAGCACUGCAAUUUUCAAAACAAGAAGCGGCUGCUACCAUAUUAUUUAUGUUUACAAUCAACAAACUACAUCCUGACAUUCCUUCUUAUUUUUGUUUGCAUUCAAACGUGAUGAACUUGAGAAAAUCCAUGCACUUCAAUUGGACAGGAGUUUUCUGCCACGUAAUCGAUGAUGCACUUCACAUGACAGAAUUGUUUGUUAAAGGAACUUUUUGGCAAGAAAUACACAACCGUGUCAUUCAGUGUUGGACCUAUGUUAUUGGCAAGAAAUACACUAAUGUGUAGCUCACUGCUGAGGUCAGCAAGAGGGGGUACAUGCACAUCUGACACCUUUUUCUCUUCCGGCGCCUUGCUAUUUGCAUUUCCCAUUCGUACCUAUCAUUUUUCAACAGCAUUAGUAUUGAUGUGGUAUGUAUACUGAACAAUUGGCUUGCCAUGUAUUUUUGGUGUUCCAACUUGGAACAUGGGGAAGAAAUGACUACAUUGUAUACAUCUGAUAAACAUUUAUUGUCUUGGGAUGUA